AACGAACGCUGGCGGCGCGCCUAAUACAUGCAAGUCGAGCGAGAAGACGUAGCAAUACGUUUGUAAAGCGGCGAACGGGUGAGGAAUACAUGGGUAACCUACCCUCGAGUGGGGAAUAACUAGCCGAAAGGUUAGCUAAUACCGCGUACGCUCCUUGGACUUCGGUUCAGGGAGGAAAGCGAUACCGUGGGUAUCGCGCUCUUGGAUGGGCUCAUGUCCUAUCAGCUUGUUGGUGAGGUAACGGCUCACCAAGGCUUCGACGGGUAGCUGGUCUGAGAGGACGAUCAGCCACACUGGCACUGCGACACGGGCCAGACUCCUACGGGAGGCAGCAGUAAGGAAUAUUGCGCAAUGGGCGAAAGCCUGACGCAGCGACGCCGCGUGGGGGAUGAAGGUCUUCGGAUUGUAAACCCCUUUCGGGAGGGAAGAUGGAACGAGCAAUCGUUCGGACGGUACCUCCAGAAGCAGCCAC
rnacentral:rRNA from 1 species